CAGUCAACCUGUAGAGAAAAGGACGGUGGUCACAGUGGUAUAAAAAUUACAUCGAACGGGAACCGGGAAGGGCCUCAUCGGAGGUAAAAACUGAGAAAAUCCGCGGCGGUAUCGCUGGACUUCGGCGGUGUUUUGGUUUGGCUCCGAUUUGGCCACAGGGAGGUUCAGCAUCGAAAAACGAGCCAAGGGGAGAAAUUUUACCUCGUUUAGCGACCGAAAAAUCCUCCGGUGCGGCGGCAGGUGGCGGCACCCGGUU
rnacentral:lncRNA from 1 species